rnacentral:rRNA from 1 species
GAGAACCCGCCCCCUCCUCCGGGAUAGCCUCGGGAAACCGUGGGUAAUACCGGAUGACCCCGCAGGGCCGCAUGGCCCCGCGGGCAAAGCCCAGACGGGAGGGGAUGGCUCCGCGGCCCAUCAGGUAGACGGCGGGGUGACGGCCCACCGUGCCGACGACGGGUAGCCGGGUUGAGAGACCGACCGGCCAGAUUGGGACUGAGACACGGCCCAGACUCCUACGGGAGGCAGCAGUGGGGAAUCUUGCGCAAUGGGGGGAACCCUGACGCAGCGACGCCGCGUGCGGGACGAAGGCCCUCGGGUCGUAAACCGCUUUCAGCAGGGAUGAGACAAGACGGUACCUGCAGAAGAAGCCCCGGCUAACUACGUGCCAGCAGCCGCGGUAAUACGUAGGGGGCGAGCGUUAUCCGGAUUCAUUGGGCGUAAAGCGCGCGUAGGCGGCCCGGCAGGCAGGGGGUCAAAAGGCGGGGCUCACCCCCGUCCCGCCCCCUGAACCCGCCGGGCUCGGGUCCGGUAGGGGAGGGUGGAACACCCGGUGUAGCGGUGGAAUGCGCAGAUAUCGGGUGGAACACCGGUGGCGAAGGCGGCCCUCUGGGCCGAGACCGACGCUGAGGCGCGAAAGCUGGGGGAGCGAACAGGAUUAGAUACCCUGGUAGUCCACACGGUAAACGAUGAAUACUCGCUGUUUGCGAUAUACAGCAAGCGGCCAAGCGAAAGCGUUAAGUAUUCCACCUGGGGAGUACGCCGGCAACGGUGAAACUCAAAGGAAUUGACGGGGGCCCGCACAAGCGGAGGAACAUGUGGUUUAAUUCGAUGAUACGCGAGGAACCUUACCCGGGCUUAAAUUGCAGAUGAAUUACGGUGAAAGCCGUAAGCCGCAAGGCAUCUGUGAAGGUGCUGCAUGGUUGUCGUCAGCUCGUGCCGUGAGGUGUCGGCUUAAGUGCCAUAACGAGCGCAACCCUUGUUGUCAGUUACUAACAGGUUCCGCUGAGGACUCUGACAAGACUGCCAUCGUAAGAUGUGAGGAAGGUGGGGAUGACGUCAAAUCAGCACGGCCCUUACGUCCGGGGCUACACACGUGUUACAAUGGGGGGUACAGAGGGCCGCUACCACGCGAGUGGAUGCCAAUCCCCAAAACCUCUCUCAGUUCGGACUGGAGUCUGCAACCCGACUCCACGAAGCUGGAUUCGCUAGUAAUCGAAAAUCAGCCACGGCGCGGUGAAUACGUUCCCGGG